UUGUCAAGAAUAUAUGGGAGGAGUGGAGGAAUUUAUCUGAGCAGCAAAGCGCAUGCUUCCCCCCCCCUGAAACAAAGGCAUGAUUUCCAUUGCAAAUCCACCCCCACCCCACAAACCUUUUCUGCCAGGCAGAGGGACAGAGCAAACAACAAUAUUUAUGAGAAGGCGCUCAUGAAAUUAAUGUACCUUACUUUUAAAAAAUCAAAUGCUCACUACAGUGUGCCACGGCUCAGCUUAGUAAAAAAAUAAAAUAAAAGGGGGGGGGAGAUAGACUUCCUGACAGUCUUGUCAACAUCUUAAGUAAAUGAUCCCAGUGAUGGUCUUUGGAGAGGAGACGCGCCAUUCCUUCUUAAGACACCUCCUAGCAUUAAUCUUAAACCAGUUGAAGAUUAUGAUGGGAAAUAAGAGGGGGGGGGUAGAAUUGCAAAGCAUGUUCAUCUCCAAUUGCUUUUUUAAAAAAAAUAUGCAAGCGGGCCAAAUGUAACCGGAGAAAAGGGAAGAAAGAAAGGAAAAUGUCAGGGGGGGGAGAGAACAAUUGAGGCGAAUCCUUUUGCAACAACACAAAUAAAUAAAUAUGGAAAAGUUCCCUGACUUGAUUUCUGGAUUGCUGGAAUAUUGGGUGGGCGUGGGGCAGAUAAACAGCGCUGGCCCCCCACGCAACGAAGCAGCCACGAAAAGGUAACUUCAAAGGGGGAGGGGAGGCAAUACUUUUAUUUCUCUGGCUGUUCAUUAAAACAAAACAAAACAAAAAGAAUCGGAUCUCUUCGAUGAGAAAAUAGUAGUAAUUUUAGAUAUAUAUAUAUAUAUAUUUUACAAGAAAUCCAUUACCUUUUUCCGACUUUGUUUUCUUCUCCCAAAAUAAUUUAUUUGUAGGACUUUGACUAAUAUAUACCAAUACAAUUGUGGAAUUACAGAUGUUAUGGGAUUAAGAGCAAAAACCAGUUUGGGUAGCAUUUUUCGGGAUUUGAAUAUCUCACAAAAGAAAAUAAAUAUAGUGGGCAACUAUUUUACCGAACACCUUUUAAAUUCCAAGUCUUCUUUUUAUUUGUAAACAGUAUUUUCAAAUCUAGCCAUUUAUGUUUAAAGACCUGGAAAAUAAAACAGGACUGGAACUUAAAUGCGAAAACGCGGCGGUCGCUGAAGCACAGAUUCAAAGAGAAUUCUUGCCAGCCUGGAUUUUGAACUGGAAAUGGUCCUUGGAGCGACCUUUGCGUUUGACUGAGACAAAAUCUAUGAUACGUGGGAGUAAACCUCCAAUAAGUAGGGCUUACUUCCGCGUAAACGUGCAUGGACUAGUGCUGCAAGACGACUUCUUUUUAAUUGUCUUAAGGUUAAAAUGGAUUUUAAAAAAAUGUUUCUUAGUACUUUAGCAGCCUGAGCCCUAACCAUGUUUACUCGGAAGUAAGCCCGGGAUUUCCUCCCAAGGAAAGGCACGUAGGUGAGCAGCACGUGGGUCCUCCGAAGCGAGAGAAUGAAAGGUUUCCAAUAUCUCCGGAAUGUUGAAAGCAUGGGAAAGGGAUCGGGCUUAAAGUCACAAAAAGAAACGCAAACAUUUGCUUUGCAGUUUUAUUUUCCUGCUUCUGGCUGCAGCUGAGAUGCUAGAGAGAUACGACGGCAGCCGCCACGGGGCUCCAGUGGGUUGGGGGGGGGCAGGAGAAAGGCUGGUUCCUCGGUGCUUUUGGAUGCUGGAACGAACCGCAAGGCGCUUCCCACGAAAGAGGCACCCGCGCCUACAGCCACAGCCAAGCUCCCCCGGCCAGGCAGGCGCUGGCGGCGCAGGGCGGAGAGGAGGCGGCUGUAGCGCCCAUUCCCUGCGCUGCCCCUCCGCUGACCCCAGCCAGGGACUGCAGAGGGGGGAGCUCUCUGAGCUAGACCAGACCUGUCCCCCUGGGAAGCCCCUGCGGGAGAGGGAAGGAGGCCGCCCCAGUGCCCCUCCUAAAAAAGAAAAGGAGAAAAAACGCCGGGCGGGACUCCCCUUCCAGGAGCCUGCGAAAUUCUCCCCUCACCAACAAACCAGGGAGAACGAAAGCGCAACGGGCGGCUGCCCCAGAGAGCAGCUCUUCCAUUCCGAGGCGCUGCAGGGGCAGAUCCUGCCCCGGUGGCUCGAAGGAAGGGGACUCGAGGAACGCGCCGUCUAAGCGGAGCCCCAGUCCCAGAAAGCAGAGCCCACUCUCGAGCUCUUGGCGACGGGGCUUGGGCAGGUAGUGCUUCAAGCACCGCCUCUGGGAAGAUAGUCCAGAGAGCGCGCGGUGUUUCUCAAGAGACAGGUGCCGGGGCUCAAGAGUCCCGGGAGGAACGCGCUCCAUCCCGAAACCGCCUUUUCCCGAACCUAAAAGCGUGGGAAUCGCACCCUGCACCCUCUCAGAGGCACGCCACUCGCCCCUCUUUCCUCCUUCCAAAACUAACAUUUCAUAUGCCCCGCAGCUGUCUUGAUAUUAGGAGGGAGGGGGCUGAUUUGCUGACUGAAUUCUGGUGAACCCCGAAACAAAUUAAACCAUGAUUUAAGUCCCAUUUAUAUGCAUGGGAAAUCUGGGGGAGAUGAGCAGGCUUCCGCACAUGGCAUGCAUAUUGUAGGACAUCUCCUGUGGCGCGUCUCUUGUGCACAAAACAAGAGCGUUAUACAUCUGCCCGUCUUCCUACACAGACAGAGACACCUACAGACACCCACCCAGCAGGACAGCCAGCGAUUCUCACUCCUUUCUGGGCGUUCCUGGAGGACAGCUAUCUGGAGAAUCGUGCCCAGUGCGUUUUUGUGUAUACAAAUACAGCACACUAGAACAUCUCUUCCUUAAAAUGCCACCAAGAUUCAGUUUCACAAACUGGUUAUUCCUGAAUGCUUGGAUUUCAGCAGUUUUGCUCAACUGAUAGAUUCGGGUUUGAACCGAUUUAAAAACUCAUUAUAAUCAACAUUUACAAUUGAAGGCUUGGCACCAGAAAGGAAAGAUCGUGAGAGGAGUAACCUGAAGAAUAGCUGUCGUCUAGCCAUCCCUCAACAACACCCCUAUCACUACAGCGGUGGUGGGGGUAGGCUGCGAUUUUUGAAGAGCCUGCUAAUAGUUUGCUUUUUGGUGAUCUAACAUUAGCCAACCAAGUUACCAGAACAUUAAGGUUGCCAUCGGCUCGUCUAAACCCAUAGACUUCAUUGGGUUUUAGCGCGCUUAACUCUGUGUUUGCGGGUGUGCAGAGGGGAAUCCUGUUCCUUUUGCUGUUCAUUCAUUCAAUACAUCGCGAUCCUAGAUGUGGAAUUACCGAUCCCUCCCCUGGCAAAUUCUGCUUUGCAUCCUACACGGUCGGACACGCAUCUCAGAGGUAGAGCUCCGCCAGUCAACAUCACCACGGCUGGAGACAACCUGUGGGGUCCCCAAGGAGGACAGACGGAAAGGCCCACCAUCACAAGAGACCUCAGUAGCAGCUGCCCUUUCCUCAAUCAAGGGGAAAGCAGCAGGGGCGAGUCCUCCUCAAUCAAGCAGGCAUUUCUAAACAGCCUGCCUGGAAUCACCCUGACAGAGUUGCGUGGCCUUUGUAGAUGUGGUCUGACAUACCCUCCGUCCUCCUGCCUGGACACUUCGUUUUGUUUUGACAUGGUUGCACAAUGCCCUGUCCAUGCAUCAGCGCAGAUAACAGCAGAUGACCGAGGCUAAAUCUACCCCAGAAAUGGGAGUGUAGCAAAGGAUGCAAUGUAGUCGAAAUGAAAGACUUAAGCCCCAUUGCUUUGAAUGAGAAAAGAAGGCUUCAGUGCAAUUACAUGGGAGUAAGAGCCAUUAAAUCUCAUGUGGCCUAUUUCUGAGUAGACAUGCAUAAGAUGCACAUUUCUCUAUAAUGGAGACUUGGGGGUGAAUGGUUGCCAGAUCUGAGAAUCAAAUUUUUUAUCUGCUGCAGACAGGAUUGCAUCCCCUCUGAAAGAAAGAAAAAAAGUAGUUUGGGGGUGCUCCUGGAAUGAUACUACUGCCAUGAGAGGUUCAGGUUACCUCAGUGGCGAGGAGCGCCCAUGGUCAGCUUUGGUUGCUAAGCCAACAAUAGCCUUUCUUGAACAGGGACAGCUUGGCCACUGUGUUCCAUGCACUGGUAACCUCAUGGCAUUCUGUGUGGGACAAUCUUUGGUCAUGAUUUGGGAGCUGUAUCUAGUGCAGAAUUUGGUGGCUGGGGAGGGUAGAGACUGGGGGAUCUGGCCACACCUAUUACACUGGUCUUCAAUGAACUGCACUGUCUACCUAUUAGUAAUGGAGUCAUGUUCAAGGUCUUGUUAUUAACAUAGAAAGCAGGGAAUCUCAGACCCAGAGCUACAAUGCAGCCCUCCAAGCCUUCCCUUCCCUUCCCUUCCCUUCCCUUCCCUCUUCUGUUCCCUCUUCCCUUCCCUUCCUUUUUGCCUUCCCUUCAUUUCGUAGUUUUUAUUCAUUUUCAUCUUUAAACUGUUUGACGUGGUUGCACUGAGUUACCUUGGUUUAGAUCAGAGCAUACGACAUGCAACAAUUACAUCAAAUGAAAAAUAAAACAAUAAGCACUCCAAUAAAUGUUUCUGACUAUAUUAACAAAGUUGUGUCAACUUAUAUAUACCAAAAUUAUUAUUACAGAUAUGAAAUGAUGUAUAGCAACGUCUAUUGCUUAGACUGGGGACCCUAAAGCAGGGGUCAGCAAACUUUUUCAGCAGGGGGCUGUCCACUGUCCCUCAGAC